rnacentral:rRNA from 1 species
UACGAAGGGGGCUAGCGUUGUUCGGAAUUAUUGGGCGUAAAGAGCUCGUAGGCGGUUUGUCGCGUCUGCUGUGAAAACUCGGGGCUUAACCCCGGGCCUGCAGUGGGUACGGGCAGACUAGAGUGCGGUAGGGGAGACUGGAAUUCCUGGUGUAGCGGUGAAAUGCGCAGAUAUCAGGAGGAACACCGGUGGCGAAGGCGGGUCUCUGGGCCGAUACUGACGCUGAGGAGCGAAAGCGUGGGGAGCGAACAGG